CCUCAGAAUCGGUUUUUUUUGGCAAUGGUUUAUUAUUGCUUACAAGUAUAUAUUAAACUACUUAUAACUGGCUGCAUCUGUCCCUAUUAUCUUAGGAUGUCUUCUUUUGCAUUACCUAGAUUUGGUGAGUAUAAUAAUUUAUUGUUUUAAAUUAUUUAGUUUCUAAAACAUCCAGUUAUCUAAUGAAUUGUUUCCAAAAAAAUUGUUAGAUUUCAAUUUUUUUAUUUUAAAGCAUUUUAAAUGAUAAAAUUGUAGAUAAUGGUUUUUUUUUUUUUUUUUAAUUUCGAACCAUAAGUCAUCAUUUUUAAAUAAUACAAGUGUAAA